ACGUGUUUGGCAGAGGACGUACUAUUCUCCGUUUGUUCUCCUUUUAGUGUGUUUCUCCGUAAUGUUUACGAGAGUGACCGUGAUCCUACAGCUUCGCCCCCUUUCCCGUGUCCCUUUGUGCUCGGGAUGCCCAGAUGUAUCGGCAGCUGCGAUUGUGCUACUCCCGGCUCCGCACAGACCCGUCAGGGCAGAAAAUAAUAGCUGCAGAUAUUUUGGUACCAACAGUGUGAUCUAUAGCAAGAAAGAUGAACAGUCUGUUCCAACCCAGGAGAUUGCCAAGGAGACAGAGAGCCAAGACAGUAUAAAGGAAAAAAAGAAAAAAGACUUGUUAGAUAUUAUUAAGGGCAUGAAAGUUGAAUUAAGCACAGCAAAUGUACAAACAACAAAGCCACCAGGCAGAAGACCACUUAAAAGUUGGGAAGCUACAGCUAGCAAAUCUCAAAAAGCAACGGAAGAUGCCCUAGAGAAGAGUGAGUCUCUGAGUCCUGAAUUGGUGGCUGCUGCAUCUGCUGUAGCAGAUUCUCUCCCUUUUGACAAGCAAAAGACCAAGUCCGAGCUCCUCAGGCAGCUCCAGCAACAUGAAGAAAAUUCAAGGGCCCAGAAAGAUGGAGACAGACCUAAAAUUAGUUUCAGUAACAUAAUAUCAGAUAUGAAAGUGGCCAGGUCUGCCACGGCUAGAGUCAGUACAAGACCAGUGCAUCAGAUUCAGUUUGACGAAGGUUCUAGUGAUGAUUCUCUUGCCCAGGAGAAGACUGUUGGUCCUAGAAAAAGGAAAGAUUUAUUCAAGGGGAAGAGACUUAAUAUUUUUGAGAUUAAGGUAGAUACUGAAGAGGCACUUGAAACAGAGACAACACCUUCACUUUGGGAUGUGGAAUUUGCUAAGCAGUUAGCCGCAAUAAAUGAACAGCCCUUUCAAAAUGGCUUUGAAGAGAUGAUCCAGUGGACAAAAGAGGGGAAACUCUGGCAGUUUCCAAUUAAUAAUGAAGCAGGUUUUGAUGAUGAUGGUUCUGAAUUUCAUGAACACAUAUUUCUGGAUAAAUAUCUUGUGGAUUUUCCAAAACAAGGACCAAUUCGCCACUUCAUGGAGCUGGUGACCUGUGGCCUUUCUAAAAACCCGUAUCUGAGUGUGAAACAGAAGAUAGAACAUAUAGAAUGGUUUAAAAAUUAUUUUAAUGAAAAACAGGACAUUCUAAAAGAAAGUGACAUACAGUUGAAUUGAUUAUCAUGGAAACUUUAUUUUAAGCUGUUGAAGAUAAGUAUUAUAACUAAAUAAAGUAAUUUUACUAGAUGUUUGCCUUUAUUGUGUUAAUUACUGCACCUGACUUGAAUGGUAUAAAUGUUGUUUAGGAAUAUAUAGAGUUAACUAUAAAAUGCUCUUGUGUGGAAAAUGGACAUUUGUGAAUUCAACUAGUGAUUCUUAACAAAAAGAAUUAGUAAUAAGCUGAGACAACAUCCUCUGUAAUCUUUUUCAUUCAGUGACUACACUUCGAAAUACAUUUGUUAGAGAUACCUGAUGACAUCAGAGUGCUAUAACAAUUGAGACCUUCCAAGCAAAUAAAAAUCAUGUGAAAAAAACCUCCAUUAAACCCAGGCCUCAAAUGAUGAAUACAUACACUAAGGAAACAAGGCACCGUGAAUGUA